rnacentral:lncRNA from 1 species
ACUUGUCUAAUCCUACAGUAGGAUUUAGUACUUAUUUAAUCUUUAAGGGUGUGUUUGGUUCGCACUAUGAAAGAUUACUAGCAAUAAAAAGAUGUUCGAGAAUUUUAUUCCUAUUAAUCCUAUUACUAAGAAUGUGACAUUCCUGUGUUUGGUUCGCACGGUUAUAUUAUUUAGUCAUGUUAUUUAAAUUUACAAAAAAUAUACAAUUAAUUUAUUUAUUUUCUUUAAUUAAUUUUAAAUAAUGCUACAAAAAAUUUCAACAUCUUUUUAAGAAAAAGGGAGAGAGAACAUAGGUUAGAGAGAGAGAGCAUAAUUAAAGAAAUAAGAAGAGAAAUAGAAUUGAGAUUAGAGAGAGUGAGAGAGUUGAGAUUUUAGAAAAAAAGGGGGGGAGAGAGCUUAGUUUAGAGAGAGAAAAAGAGUUGAAGUUUAGAGAGAAAAAAUAAGUUUAGAGAGAGAUAUGAGGUUAGAGUGUAAAGAAAAAUAAAACCAACUAGCCGGCGGAUAGGGAGAAAGAAAGAGAUUAGACAUAUUAUGAUUACCCCAAUUCAUUAAUAUGAGAAUACAGACCCUCCCUCAAGGGGAUGAGAUUAGUACUUUGGGAUGAAUCUCAUUCCCAAGUAAAUCUAAUAUUAACAACUAGAUUACUUAGUGCGUUUAGCCAAACACCGUCAUAUUUUUUUAUUUCUAUCGGAUUAAUAGGAAUCUUAAAAAGAUAGUGCAAACCAAACGCGCCCUAAAAGGUGAUGAAUAAACUAGUUAGCUAGACAGUUUAUGUUCAG